CCUACGGGUGGCAGCAGUGGGGAAUAUUGGACAAUGGGGGGAACCCUGAUCCAGCCAUGCCGCGUGUGUGAAGAAGGCCCUCGGGUUGUAAAGCACUUUCAGUGAGGAAGAACGCCUGGUGGUUAAUACCCAUCAGGAAAGACAUCACUCACAGAAGAAGCACCGGCUAACUCCGUGCCAGCAGCCGCGGCAAUACGGAGGGUGCGAGCGUUAAUCGGAAUUACUGGGCGUAAAGCGCGCGUAGGUGGCUUGAUAAGCCGGUUGUGAAAGCCCCGGGCUCAACCUGGGAACGGCAUCCGGAACUGUCAAGCUAGAGUGCAGGAGAGGAAGGUAGAAUUCCCGGUGUAGCGGUGAAAUGCGUAGAGAUCGGGAGGAAUACCAGUGGCGAAGGCGGCCUUCUGGACUGACACUGACACUGAGGUGCGAAAGCGUGGGUAGCAAACAGGAUUAGAUACCCGAGUAGUC
rnacentral:rRNA from 1 species